GGGCGGCAUUCGUGUAGGUGCGUCGAGUCGGCCGGAACCCCAGUGAAUCAUUAGCGAGCCCGCCGGGUCGCGGGGAGCGGGGGUGCUGGUGCUUUUUGCCGUCGGCCUGGCCGAUCUAAUGACGAAAGUCGCCGCCUAGCCGCCGCCGACUGGCGCCCAGACCAGACAGCAACAAAAAAUAGCCUUGACCGGUGCGUCAGUGCAGGUGGCAAAAACGGUUGCAAAAACAGGGCGUUGGUGUGUCGUCUAGACGUUUUUUUGUGGGCUUUUUGCAGGGCGCCGCGCUGCGCGCUGGCGUUCUGCGUUGCCGGAGUUUGGCCCAGUCCCCCAGAUUGUCGGUGGCGAGUGGACGCGACUGCAACUUGUGCGAGCGCUGCGGGCUGCAGCGGCGGGGGAUCGGACUGCUCUCGCCUGAGACAGAAGGCUCGAAAUCGUGCGAGCGAGUCGUGCGGCAUUUCAGUCUCGGCUGUUCGGUCCGACAACUCGGAGAGAAUUUCAGCAGAGAGGCUCAAAUGACCCCAAGAGGCUGAGCGUUGACCUCGGUUCGGCCGCCUCUGAUGGCAUGGUCAAACGCUUCCGGCUGCUCUACUCAGCACGGACGGCAGAAUGAACCGCUACGUGUCUACAGAAAAGGUCUGGAGUGGUGAGCGCCCAGACCUUCGGUCCUCGGAGCCAGGUGAUGGCUCUGAGACACCAGUGGCCAGCCCCUCUGGUCGCUGACCAUUGGCCAAGGACGUUACGCUGAACGGUCUCUGAUGUCACGGUCUCUGGGCUCUGGUCCACAUGAUCUGUUUAACUUCAUAUGUAGUUACGCGACUAUUACGGCUGCCUCUGCCGCUGAGAGUAGUGCAAGUGCCAAGAAACCGUGGAGAGCCUGCAUCUACAUCUCUUCUGCAACUCCGAUGGGAGGAGGAUAUGUGCUCUGAUCCCACCACUGCAACCAGCUAUAGCGCCUGCGCUAUGAAUGAGUUGACUCGUGACUGAUGUGGCAUGACGAAAUGCCAUGAAAAAGUGACAGACGGUCGUAUUGUAGCAUGAAUGAAUAUAAGCACAAAUGUGUGUAGUGUUUUGAGGACCGACCCGAGGACGGACGAAAUGUGCUGCCGUAAAUAUAAUCAGUCUUACAAUGACGAUAAUGGUCGAGGUGGCGUGUAUCAGUGAAUAUCGCGUAACUGAGACUAUGGACACCCUGUCUGUGACAUGGAAAUACGAGAUCGUGUAUGGUAACAUUGUUUUGAAGCACUGGUGUAGCUCGUAAUGUGUGACUCACCAGCGCGAUGGUAUGUACAAGCGCGUUGUAUAAAAUGGAGGAAAUCGGCUUGAGUCAUUUGUUGUAUCAGUUGCUGGCCAUUACUUGGUUGAGUCUCAAUCUUUAUUUAUAAUUGAAACAUUUAUUUUGUAACUUCAUACUAAUAUACCCUUGCAGAAGCAAAUUUAGUAGGCAUGUCAUGACGUUCCAUUUAUGGGGAUGCACUCGAUAAUUCGUCAUUCGUCGAGCGAUUAUCUGGAACUUUUCUCUCAUGCAAUAUGUAUAGAAAUAUGACCACUGAUCAGAUAUUAUAAGACAUAUUAAAUAUUUAUGGAUGUAGCUGAGUCCGCUCAUACUGAGCAUGCAUUUGCUAUGCAUGGCCACAUGAAUUGUAUCAUGUAAGACUUAUUUAACUGUUCCGAAAUAAGAGCAACUAGAACAACUCAAAUACCCACUAUAUCUCUGCGUCAAGAUAAACUUUAAAGAUCUGUGCACAAGGCGACGGUCAGAUGACUUUGUAUUUAGUUUCCAUAUGUGCGGUAGUUAUCUAUAGAACAUAUUGAGCGAGCGAGUCGUAUGCGACUGCAGCUCAGCUUCUAACCGAUCUACCUCAGUAGAAAUCAUCUUCAACCAUAGCCACCUGCUAGGCAGCCUGAUAGACAGAUUAGCCAAUUGACAUUAAUUAGCCCUGUAUAAUGAUACAGUGGAGGUUGUUGACCAUUGUGUAAUAGUGAAGGCACCGUGUAUUUACUUGUUUUGUUUCGUCUUAUUAGUUUUAUGUGAUGUGAUUAGGCAUAUGACAAGGGUUUGAGAUGAAUAAUUUGUAAUUUGGUCUACGAUAGUAUCUUCAUGUUUUUUAAGUUUUGAGUCGACAAUGAGGGAUAGUGAUUGUAUAUAAGCAUGUGAAGUGUCAAUGAUUAUCCCGUCAUUCUAUCAUAUGAAUGCGAGAGAUAAAUGAAAUGUUUAUGAACGUGCUGUGUGCAUAAAAUGUGCGUGCACAUGUGGCACAAAUAUGAAGUACAAUACACUCAGGAAUACA